rnacentral:rRNA from 1 species
AGUGAACGCUGGCGGUAGGCCUAACACAUGCAAGUCGAACGGCAGCACAGUAAGAGCUUGCUCUUACGGGUGGCGAGUGGCGGACGGGUGAGGAAUACAUCGGAAUCUACUUUUUCGUGGGGGAUAACGUAGGGAAACUUACGCUAAUACCGCAUACGACCUACGGGUGAAAGCAGGGGAUCUUCGGACCUUGCGCGAUUGAAUGAGCCGAUGUCGGAUUAGCUAGUUGGCGGGGUAAAGGCCCACCAAGGCGACGAUCCGUAGCUGGUCUGAGAGGAUGAUCAGCCACACUGGAACUGAGACACGGUCCAGACUCCUACGGGAGGCAGCAGUGGGGAAUAUUGGACAAUGGGCGCAAGCCUGAUCCAGCCAUACCGCGUGGGUGAAGAAGGCCUUCGGGUUGUAAAGCCCUUUUGUUGGGAAAGAAAAGCAGCAGGUCGAUACCCCGCUGUUCUGACGGUACCCAAAGAAUAAGCACCGGCUAACUUCGUG